rnacentral:rRNA from 1 species
AGGGUUUGAUCCUGGCUCAGAACGUACGCUGGCGGCACGCCUAACACAUGCAAGUCGAACGAAGUAGCAAUACUUAGUGGCAGACGGGUGAGUAACAUGUGGGUAUCUGCCCUUUGGCCUGGAAUAACACGAGGAAACUUGUGCUAAUACCGGAUAAGUCUUUACGGAGAAAGCUUUAUGCACCAUUGGAUGAGCCCGCACUUGAUUAGUUUGUUGGUGGGGUAAUGGCCUACCAAGACUGUGAUCAAUAGCUGAUUUGAGAGGAUGAUCAGCCACAUUGGGACUGAGACACGGCCCAAACUCCUACGGGAGGCAGCAGUGGGGAAUCUUGCACAAUGGAGGAAACUCUGAUGCAGCGAUGCCGCGUGAGUGAAGAAGGCCCUUGGGUUGUAAAGCUCUUUCGUCGGGGAAGAAAAUGACUGUACCCGAAUAAGAAGGUCCGGCUAACUUCGUGCCAGCAGCCGCGGUAAUACGAAGGGACCUAGCGUAGUUCGGAAUUACUGGGCUUAAAGAGUUCGUAGGUGGUUGAAAAAGUUAGUGGUGAAAUCCCAGAGCUUAACUCUGGAACUGCCAUUAAAACUUUUCAGCUAGAGUAUGAUAGAGGAAAGCAGAAUUUCUAGUGUAGAGGUGAAAUUCGUAGAUAUUAGAAAGAAUACCAAUUGCGAAGGCAGCUUUCUGGAUCAUUACUGACACUGAGGAACGAAAGCAUGGGUAGCGAAGAGGAUUAGAUACCCUCGUAGUCCAUGCCGUAAACGAUGUGUGUUAGACGUUGGAAAUUUAUUUUCAGUGUCGCAGCGAAAGCGAUAAACACACCGCCUGGGGAGUACGACCGCAAGGUUAAAACUCAAAUGAAUUGACGGGGACCCGCACAAGUAGUGGAGCAUGUGGUUUAAUUCGAAGAUACGCGCAGAACCUUACCAACACUUGACAUGUUCGUCGCGACUCUAAGAGAUUAGAGUUUUCGGUUCGGCCGGACGAAACACAGGUGCUGCAUGGCUGUCGUCAGCUCGUGUCGUGAGAUGUUGGGUUAAGUCCCGCAACGAGCGCAACCCUCACUUUUAGUUGCCAUCAUUAAGUUGGGCACUCUGAAAGAACUGCCAGUGAUAAGCUGGAGGAAGGUGGGGAUGACGUCAAGUCCUCAUGGCCCUUACGUGUUGGGCUACACACGUGCUACAAUGGUAUCUACAACAGGAAGCAAGACUGCGAGGUCAAGCAAAUCCUUAAAAGAUACCUCAGUUCGGAUUGCACUCUGCAACUCGAGUGCAUGAAGCUGGAAUUACUAGUAAUCGUGGAUCAGCGUGCCACGGUGAAUGCGUUCCCGGGUCUUGUACACACCGCCCGUCACACCAUGGGAGUUGGUUCUACCUUAAGGCAAGGUUUCAAACCCUUGACCACGGUAUAGUCAGCGACUGGGGUGAAGUCGUAACAAGGUAACCGUA